AACGCAUCUUGCGCUCCUUGGUAUUCCGAGGAGCAUGCCUGUUUGAGUGUCAUUUAAAAUUCUCAAACCCACUUGACGUGGCUUUGGAUGUGGGGGCUUUUGUUUGCAGGCUUUUCUUCUCAAGUCUGCUCCCCUGAAAUGCAUUAGUGGUGUCUGGAGUGGAAACCGCUAGGUGUGAUAAUUAUCGUCUACGCCUUUGGGUAUGCCACAUGAAACAGAUUGUGCUGCUUCCAACACAACCUUUAUGACAAACUUGACCUCAAAUCAGGUAGGACUACCCGCUGAACUUAA
rnacentral:misc_RNA from 1 species